UGGCUCAAGACGAACGCUGGCGGCGUGCCUAAUACAUGCAAGUCGAACGGAGAUAUUCGCUGAUGAAGUACUUCGGUAAUGAAUCUUGGAUAUCUUAGUGGCGGACGGGUGAGUAACGCGUGAGCAACCUGCCUUUCAGAGGGGGAUAACGUUUGGAAACGAACGCUAAUACCGCAUGACAUUAUCUUAUCGCAUGGUAGGAUAAUCAAAGGAGCAAUCCGCUGAAAGAUGGGCUCGCGUCCGAUUAGGUAGUUGGUGGGGUAACGGCCCACCAAGCCGACGAUCGGUAGCCGGACUGAGAGGUUGGACGGCCACAUUGGGACUGAGACACGGCCCAGACUCCUACGGGAGGCAGCAGUAAGGGAUAUUGGUCAAUGGGGGAAACCCUGAACCAGCAACGCCGCGUGAGGGAAGACGGUUUUCGGAUUGUAAACCUCUGUCCUCUGUGAAGAUGAUGACGGUAGCAGAGGAGGAAGCUCCGGCUAACUACGUGCCAGCAGCCGCGGUAAUACGUAAGGAGCAAGCGUUGUCCGGAUUUACUGGGUGUAAAGGGUGCGUAAGCGGCUUUGCAAGUCAGAAGUGAAAUCCAUGGGCUUAACC
rnacentral:rRNA from 1 species